rnacentral:rRNA from 1 species
GAUGAACGCUGGCGGCGUGCCUAAUACAUGCAAGUCGAGCGAACAGAUGAGGAGCUUGCUCCUCUGACGUUAGCGGCGGACGGGUGAGUAACACGUGGAUAACCUACCUAUAAGACUGGGAUAACUUCGGGAAACCGGAGCUAAUACCGGAUAAUAUAUUGAACCGCAUGGUUCAAUAGUGAAAGACGGUUUUGCUGUCACUUAUAGAUGGAUCCGCGCCGCAUUAGCUAGUUGGUAAGGUAACGGCUUACCAAGGCAACGAUGCGUAGCCGACCUGAGAGGGUGAUCGGCCACACUGGAACUGAGACACGGUCCAGACUCCUACGGGAGGCAGCAGUAGGGAAUCUUCCGCAAUGGGCGAAAGCCUGACGGAGCACCGCCGCGUGAGUGAUGAAGGUCUUCGGAUCGUAAAACUCUGUUAUUAGGGAAGAACAAAUGUGUAAGUAACUAUGCACGUCUUGACGGUACCUAAUCAGAAAGCCACGGCUAACUACGUG